rnacentral:misc_RNA from 1 species
AACGCACAUUGCGCCCCUUGGUAUUCCGAGGGGCAUGCCUGUUCGAGCGUCAUUACACCACUCAAGCUAUGCUUGGUAUUGGGUGUCGUCCUUAGUUGGGCGCGCCUUAAAGACCUCGGCGAGGCCUCACCGGCUUUAGGCGUAGUAGAAUUUAUUCGAACGUCUGUCAAAGGAGAGGAACUCUGCCGAUUGAAACCUUUAUUUUUCUAGGUUGACCUCGGAUCAGGUAGGGAUACCCGCUGAACUUAA